rnacentral:rRNA from 1 species
UACAGAGGUCUCAAGCGUUGUUCGGAUUCAUUGGGCGUAAAGGGUGCGUAGGCGGCGCGGUAAGUCGGGUGUGAAAUCUCGGGGCUUAACUCCGAAACUGCAUUCGAUACUGCCGUGCUUGAGGACUGGAGAGGAGACUGGAAUUUACGGUGUAGCGGUGAAAUGCGUAGAGAUGUGGAGGAACACCAGUGGCGAAGGCGACUCUUUGGCCUGUAACUGACACUGAGGCGCGAAAGCGUGGGGAGCAAACAGG